GGCAAGAUAUAUAUAUAUAUAUAUAUAUAUAUAUAUAUAGGCGGGGGUGCCUUGUUUUCCUCUGUGGCUGAAAGAGUGUGCUUUGCCAAAGGUUAUCCAAUGGGUUUCAAUGACUGAGUGUUAUCCAAAGACAUACAACCUCAUCAAAUGCAGUCUUCUCUAUGUCUUCUCGUUUCUCUACAGUGUUGGGAUGGAGUUCCAAGGAGACUAUCACAUGAUGAAGGACAACUUCCUGUGGGGUUCUGUUUUGGUGUUGCAUGGGAACAUGGAGGAACAACAGACCUGAAGGGGGAAAGGAUGUGGGAUUUUAGAAGAUGGGCCACAACUGGAGAGAAAAGAGUUAUAAUGAAAGUGUGAGAUUAACCUUCUGGAGACGAAGGUCUGCUUGUUACACCUUCAGCCGAACAAUAACCAACACAAAUCAAAGGUGAAAAGUAGAAUAUAUUUUAACAUGCUAGAUUGAAACAAUGGCUUCACUUAGCUGUUAAACAAAGCAGGUCUUUGAUAAUCAAUUCAAGUGAGUGUGAGCAACAGAAUAUCUGGCCAGGUGAAGCAGGAAUUCUAUUUUUAAAUAGUAUGUGCUUAUUAAAAGUAUAAACUUGUUUCAUCCACUUAGUUUGCUUUGAUUGACAUCUGCAUUGUGUCUGGGUAUGGCAUUUCAUUGUAUCCCAGUAACAAGCCCAGUCCUUUUAAUGGAUAUAGCUUUUCUCUUUCUUUAUUUUUCCUCUUAAAAGUUGCUGUUUCUUGUUUUAAGGUGUUUUUAAAAAAUCCUUUGGGCUUUUUGUAGAUUGACAGUAUUGCUGCACCAUCAGGGAAUAUGCUCUUUUGUCUUUGUCAAGCCAUUAAAAAGAAAACUCUAAUCAGCCCUGACUAACAUUUGUGAAAUCCAAAAAGGGAAAUUAUGGAAACAUUCUUUAAAAGAUUAAAAGGAAGGAAUGGGGGCAGGGGGAAGGGAAGGAUGCAACAAAAAUGUGUUUUUGAGAAAAAAAACUUUGUAGAAGCUCCCCCCUCCCCAAAAAUGCAAAAAGGACAUUGGGGAUAAAUUGUUCAUGGAAAUUUUCUGUGGUGUUCUCAUUUCUCUGGGGAAUAUACUCAUACACCAUUGCAGAUUUUUAAAAUGUCAUUUUAGUAAUGUUUGGAAAAUAAUAAUGUAAAAUAUUCACCCUUACAAGCAACUAUUGUUCAUUUUCAUUGUUCAUGUCUGAAAGAAGGACCUUCUGCACCAUGGUGGGACGCUAGAGGUGAAUCAUCCAGCAAGAGCAAUUAAAAGCAGCUUUCAUGCGGCAGCAGUUCCUCUGUAUUAUACAUUCAGAUUGUAUCAAUCCCUGCAGUAGUCAUUUUCAACUACCAUGUGACAGUCCAUACAUGUACACUUGUAAACAGACCAUGCUCAUAUAAAUUGGAUCAGACAUGUGAUGUUAGUUAUCAAAUAAUAAUAAUAAUAAUAAUAAUAAUAAUAAUAAUAAUAAAAAAAAAUAAUACUUGAUUUAUAUUCCGUUCUUCUCUCUGUGGAGACUCAGAGUGGAUUACAGUAUGAACAGAUACAGGCAAACAUUCAAUGUCUUGUUACAAUACAUUGAGACACACAAACACAAACAAAGGCAAAGGCUUCUCCUUUCAUUUCCGGCUUUGGAGGCGGUGCUCAUCUCUGGCUCUGGGGGAGGUACUCUUCUCCAUUUCCAAGCUGAGGACUCUGCAUUUUCACCUCCUGGUCAUGUGACCGGCAUGACUUCUUAGAGCGUCUUAUGCCUUUCCUGCCAAAGGCGUACUGAUUUAUCUACUCACAUUU
rnacentral:lncRNA from 11 species